ACAAUCAGCGAAAAAGAAAGAAAAAAGAAAACGACAGUAGUUAUAUGCAAAUCAUAUUAAUUUUAAGCCUUCAUUUCUUUAUACUAUGUAAUUACUCCCGCUCAUAUUUGCUUAUUCUUCCCCUCUCAGAAAACCCUAAAACUAACACUAAAUAACUUAGUUCCGAGAAAAAUUAAAGAGCUGCUUUAGCUUAGCAUUUAGCUGUGAUAUUUACCAAACACCCAUUUGGUAACUUUAUUGCUUGAAGGGAAAAACCAUUUCUUUCCUUAUAUGCUUCUGUUAUGGGCAGUUCAGAGGUGUUAGAGAAUGGGGCGGCGAGAAAUGAUAAUGGUAUAAAAUCAUGUGGCGAGGAUGACCGCGAGGGAAUGACAAAUGGUAGCUUUGAGCAAAUGGUUAAUGGUUCAAAGGAAAAUGAGAAUUUGGGUGAUGAGAUUUUGGAGGAUUUCGAUACAUACUGGGAAGAUGUCAAUGACCGAUUAAUGGUAUCAAGAAUGGUAAGUGACUCGGUGAUUAAGGGAAUAGUGAGCGCGGUGGAACAAGAGGCAGCUGAGAGACUAGUGGCUAAGGAAACGGAAUUAGCCAAGUUGAAGGAGUAUUUGCAAUUUCAUGAUGGGGGUCUUAGCAAAACUGAAUCUCUUGGGUCACCCAUGUCGCAGGAUGAGUUAGAAAGCAUGAAUUUUCGAGAACAUAUGACUUUAUCAGAUGUUUUUAUGGAGCAUGGCAAGAUGGGAGACUUUCUUGAUGAGCUAAGAAGUUCGGCAAAAGAUGAAUUCAAGAAGCUGAAGAAGAGUAUUGAUGAGUUUAGAGGAUCCAAGUCUAUCAGGAACAUCAGCUCUCGCUCUGAGAUGGUGGGACUAGAAGGUAUUCUACAGGAGAAAGAAUCUGGAAUUUGGGUUCGGUUGGACAAAACAGUAAAUAACUUGAAAAUGAUGGUGGAUACCGUCUUUAAACAAAUGGAUGAUAUGCUGCAGUUGUCCAAGACAUCACUUGGUCAGUGGCAGGAGGAGCAUCUUACCCAAGUGGAGAUUGAGGCCAUGGUAAUGCGUAGUGUAAUUCGGACUGUGCAAGAAGACUUUGAGUACAAAUUGUGUGAUCAGUAUGCUAAAUUUUGUGGUGACCGAAAUGGGAAGUUGAAUGACAUCUCUAGUUUACGGACGGAGUUGGAUGCUGUUUUGAAGUCAUUGUCAAGUUCAGAAACAGGGUAUAUGACUUUCCAUGGAUCGCAUGAUGCAGAUGUCUUUACACGCAAGACAUCAAGUGAGCAUGUGACUUCUUCAAAUUGGGAUGGAAAUGAAAAGAUGGAAGAUUCUAAGACUGAUAUACCUGAGAACUUUGAUGCUGCCACGUUGAAGCACAUGUCAAAAGAGGAAAUGGUGACCUAUUUUAAUAAUAUAAUGACAAAGAUGAAGAGACACCAUGAGUCCAUUUUGCAAAAGAGAACCGAUGAAUAUUUUCAUCUAAGAGCAGAUUAUCUAAAGCUUAGAGGAGGCUCUGCUGUGCCACAUAAGAAGGAUAAGGGUGAAUCUGACAUUCUAAGGAAGAAGAUCCCAGAAAUUAUAUUCAAAUUGGAUGAUAUCCUUGUAGAGAAUGAAAAACAUCCUGCAUUUACCCAGGAGACUCUAAGUUUCGGUAACUUGAAGGAUAGGCUUGAUAGCCUUCUUUCUGAAAAUCACCAGCUUAGAGACUUGCUUAAACAUAAGCAAGUUGAAGUUAAGUCCCUUUUGUCCCAAGUUUCGGACGCCAAUGAGAAGAGGGUGCAACAUUCUUUGGUGGAAGCAGACAUGCUAAAACAGAUAGGAGAUCUCCAUUUAGCCAUGGAAGACUCACUGAUAGAAGCUUCUGUAAGGGAAGAAGUGUAUACCUGUUUUCUAAGGGAUCUUAGUGGGGGGACAAGAAAUGAAGUGGAGGAAUUAAACUUGGGAUUUGAUAUGCAUAAUGAUAGUAAUGAUACUGAUGCUGAAAUUACAAAAUUUGAAAUUGAAGAUUUAGAGAUAGAGUGCCUCAUUAUGCAAGAAAUUUGUGGAGUGAUUUCCGGUGAAGGCAUCAAGGAGGCUAAAGACAUGCUUAAGGAACUGUAUCCAGAGUAUUUGAAUGAAAAAGACAUUCGUAUUUCUCUCGAAACAAAAGUUAUUGAGAUGGAAAACAAAUUAAAAUUCGAGGUUGAAGAGAAGGACAGACUAAAGCAACUGGUUUCUGAGCUGGAAAUAUGUGUGACUGAAAAGGAGAAUUUAGCAACAGAGGCAUCGGCUGCUCUAGCAAAAAAGAUGGGUCAAUUUGAGCAGGUGCUUCAAGAGUUAAAUGCUGUGAAAGAAUUUGCAAGUCAACAAGAAGCAUUAGCUUCUGGGUGCAACAAAGAAGUAAAUGUAGUAAAGGGCCAGUUGGCAGAAGCAUUGGCGCAAAUUGAAGUAUUGAAAGAGGAGGCAGCCCAAAUAAAUAAAAGUCUUGAGGAGAAGGAGGAGGAGUUAAAAGAAGCUAAUCACAGGGAAAAUAUGGUCUGUGCUAUUUCUGAAGAGAGGCAAACUCUUUUGUCCUCGCUUGAAGCAAAAGAAAUGGAGCUAAGGAAGCAGGUGGAAACAAUAAUUGGUAAUUUACAUGAAUCGUCAAAGAUGCUUGCUGAUUUUGAUGGCUCGGUGACAGGAAGGUUGACAACAAAUAGUGCGAGGUUUGAGCACUCGUAUUCUCAAUUGGAUUCUCUUGUUAAGAAGGCCAAUUUACUGAGAAGAACAAUGCUACUGUACCAAGAAAGGCUUGAAAAAAGAUGUUCAGACCUUCAAUUGGCGGAGGCUGAGGUUGAUCUUUUGGGAGAUGAGGUGGAUACACUUUUAGGCUUACUUGAGAAGAUUUACAUAGCACUUGAUCAUUACUCGCCAGUUUUACAGCAUUAUCCUGGGGACUUUUGUUAGCUGGGUAUCCAGUUGUUAGCAUGUGCAACUUUUACAAAGCAGUGGUUAAAGGUCAAACGACGAGGGAUAAAGAUUAAAGACUAUAUUCCUACUGCUCUUGCUCUUCCAUUGAAGAUAAUCGGAUUAUGGAGAUUCUUAAGGUGAUCAAAAGGGAAUUAACUGGAGAGUCUACCAAGCUAGUAAAAUCAUCUCCUGGUUAAGAUAAUAGACAGUUCCUGGAACUUUUGCAUUCCUCCAUCCUGGCUGGUACAAUUUGAAGUUCAACACGAAGCUAGAAAAACAGAGUUUUGUUAGUGUGACAGAGAUGUAGUAUUACUUUUGUAGCAACUUGAAAUAGGGAGAAGUUUCGAAGUUUCAACUGACCUGGCUUGUAAAGGGGAUCCUAGUUAGUUCUGUAUAUUUUGUAUCAUCAGGCAGGAAAAACCCAACAACUAUAGCUGCAGCUGUGAAAUUUUAGGUAAUUUAGGUACAUUUGUCAGGUUUCUUGUAUAUGGAGAAGCAAAAUGUACAGACUACUUUGGCUAGUGUUAAUUUGACGGAAAUCCAUUUGUUUAUCA